rnacentral:tRNA from 1 species
UAGCUAAUAACUUAAUUGGUGGAGUUUCAACUUGAUAAGUUGACUGUUA